rnacentral:rRNA from 1 species
UAAGACGAGGGAUGCAAGCGUUAUCCGGAAUUACUGGGCGUAAAGGACGUCUAGGCGGUUGGAUAAGUCAUUUGUGAAAUCCCAGGGCUUAACCCUGGAAGGUCUUGUGAUACUGUCCAGCUUGGGUGUAGGAGAGGAGAGCGGAACUCACAGAGUAGCGGUGGAAUGCGUAGAUACUGUGAGGUACCCCGAUGGCGAAGGCAGCUCUCUGGCCUAUUACCGACGCUGAAGCGUGAAAGCGUGGGGAGCAAAGGGGAUUAGAUACCCCCGUAGUCCACGCCCCAAACGAUGUUCACUUGGUGUCGGGAGCCUAUAUAUCUCGGUGCCGGAGCUAACGCGUUAAGUGAACCGCCUGAGGAGUACGGCCGCAAGGCUA